rnacentral:rRNA from 1 species
GACGUAGGGCGCGAGCGUUGUCCGGAUUUAUUGGGCGUAAAGAGCUCGUAGGCGGCUUGUCGCGUCGACUGUGAAAACCCACGGCUCAACUGUGGGCUUGCAGCCGAUACGGGCAGGCUAGAGUUCGGUAGGGGAGACUGGAAUUCCUGGUGUAGCGGUGAAAUGCGCAGAUAUCAGGAAGAACACCGGUGGCGAAGGCGGGUCUCUGGGCCGAUACUGACGCUGAGGAGCGAAAGCGUGGGGAGCGAACAGG